rnacentral:tRNA from 1 species
GGUGAUUCAGUGGUAGAAUGCUUGCCUUGCAUGCAUGAGGCCCUGGGUUCAAUACCUCAGUACCA